UCCAUUAUAUAACGCAAUUAAAUUCGCUCGCAAUUUGCUCAAAUUAAAAUUAAAAGUGUCUCCGGCAUAAAUAUGAUAAUUAGUAAUAGGUAAUUUCCAAAAGAGGGGUUUGUCAGCGCUAAUCGAAAGUAACUUCUCAUUGCAAAUUGUUUGACUUUUUGCAGAAUAUCAAAUUGAUAGCAAUAACGGAAUAGUCAUUUGCUUUUUUUAGAUGUUUCAACGAAUCCAGAUGAGGAGGUGUCAAUGUCAUUUCUGAUGCGCUGGGAGAGACGGCUUAAUGAGCACCGAGCUAUUUUUUAAUCCACCAACUGGGACAGGUAGCGACUUCAUUUGCAUUGUCAUAUUUAGAGAAUAAUGUCGGAACUGCAUGUCUCCCCCUAUAUCUGCAAAUAUUGAACAAAAACCAUAAAUAAAUAUUAUUUAAAUAACAUUAUUGGGUGGAAA